AACGAACGCUGGCGGCAGGCUUAACACAUGCAAGUCGAACGAACCCUUCGGGGUUAGUGGCGGACGGGUGAGUAACACGUGGGAACGUGCCUUUAGGUUCGGAAUAACUCAGGGAAACUUGUGCUAAUACCGAAUGUGCCCUUCGGGGGAAAGAUUUAUCGCCUUUAGAGCGGCCCGCGUCUGAUUAGCUAGUUGGUGAGGUAAAGGCUCACCAAGGCUACGAUCAGUAGCUGGUCUGAGAGGAUGACCAGCCACAUUGGGACUGAGACACGGCCCAAACUCCUACGGGAGGCAGCAGUGGGGAAUCUUGCGCAAUGGGCGAAAGCCUGACGCAGCCAUGCCGCGUGGAUGAUGAAGGUCUUAGGAUUGUAAAAUCCUUUCACCGGUGAAGAUAAUGACUGUAGCCGGAGAAGAAGCCCCGGCUAACUUCGUGCCAGCCGCCGCCGUAACAC
rnacentral:rRNA from 1 species